UGAAAAAUGCCUUCAUCUGCGCCUCUGUUGUCUACCUGUAUCCCAUGGAUACGGCCGGAUACUUGCGGGGCUUGUAUGUGCCGCGCCUGCGCACAAUGUCCUACCUUCUCCCCAGCCGGCCGCUCGAGAACGCGCACGCAUGGCUGUUUUACAAGCUGGGGAGGCGUGUCCUGCAUGCUGGAGAUAGUGCCGGGGAGAGAGACUGUCUGCCUGCUACGCUGCUGUCCUGCAGAUUCUAGAGGAGGGAGGAGGGCCCUGGAAGAUCACGGUGGCAGAGAAACUGUCAUAGGCUUGGGCACAAAAUGAAGCGGACACGUGGUUGGACCCACUAUGGCUCUGAUGUCAUUUGGAUGAAAUUCACCUUCACCAUAUUGUUUAUGGAUGCGGGUUUAGUUCAUGCCAAAGAUGAAAUGUACGAUUCGGGUUCAUAAUUUCAAUUGUAGACAAGCUAAGGUCACUAGCAGAUCAUCAACAACCGAAAUCACAAAAACAGGAACUGUGGAUGAAGCAUGGGAAAAUAAUGACCUCACAGCGAGACAAGGGGAAAUCGGCGUAAUAGUGUUUGGCACAGCUGAGAGCUUGGGUGUCAGUAACAUCUAUGUGAAGCAGAUAUUUGACAUUUUCUAUAUCUUUAAAACACACGUUAAUAUGAUGUUAUGAUUUAUGUACUUUUGUCAGUAGAUUGUAAGAUAUAGGAGAUGAUGAAUAAAAUAGAGCUGAAGUUGAAGCCUGGACACAUAUUGUAAGAAAGUCAUUUGGCCAAGAGUUGUGGUGGAUGCAUGAACAAUGACAAUGCCCAGAGCCAAAAAUCCUGUACUGUUACACAUUUUAUACCAUUUUUAGUCAAAAAGUAACUACAGUACAUUGAAAUAUGGGAUUCUGGUUCACUUUUUCUGACAUAUUCAACUGUGUCAUAAAAAGUGGAUGUACAGUAGCUCAAUACAGUUAUAUCAAGCCCUUCUGGCCACUUUGUUAACAGGACCAACCUUGUAUCAUUUAAACCCCUACAUUAUCUUCACCCUGUUGAUAACCAUGGCUGAGGGGAAGACUGUUGCCCCACCAGUAUAGUAUACUGCUAUAGUACGCCAGUAUAUAGUAUACUGGUAUAGUGCUCCAGUAAUAAUGAAGCUCUCUUCUUUUUAGAAGAUCAUUCUAGAAAGGAAUCCUGACAUGCAGAAGGUGGUGUCUUGUCAUCCAGAGUUUCCAUGAGCUCAGGUAGUCUCAACCUUUGGAACUGUUCUUUCAGCACCUUUGUAUACCAUGCAUGGUUUUGAGAGCCAUGUCCGUCUGAACUGUAAUAAAUAUGCUUCUACAGUGACCAGCAGUUUAAUUAUUUAAUUUGGAGCAUAUCAAAUGACCGGUGU